rnacentral:rRNA from 1 species
CGUCAGUUCACCACAAGGCGCCGCUGAUCGGCAGGCUAGCUAGGUGCUGAGCUGAACCUGGGAGCGGGCAUGGAGGACACGGCGGCGACGCUGGCGGCGGAGCUGGACCGGCUGCUGUCCAUGGCGAGGGAGCUGGAGGCGCGCGUCGAGGGCAACCAGCGCGCGCCGGGCGCCGCCAGGGAGCUCUGCGCCGCGCUGGCCGAGUCCGUCGACCGGGCCAUGCGCCUCGCCGGGAGCAGCCCGCGCGGCGGCGACGGCGGGGGCAAUGCCGGCACCGGCAGGGCGAGCGCGAGCGGGCAGGUCAAGGGCGGCAGGAAGGCGGCGGCGAACAAGGUGCGGACGCAGGUGCGGGUGGCGUCGGUGACGGACGCGGGGCCGCUCAACGACGGGCUCAGCUGGCGCAAGUACGGCCAGAAGGACAUCCUGGGCGCCGCGUACCCCAGGGCAUACUUCCGGUGCACGCACCGGCACACGCAGGGCUGCCAGGCCACCAAGCAGGUCCAGCGCGCCCACGCCGACCCGCUGCUCUUCGACGUCGUGUACCUCGGCGCGCACACCUGCGCCCAGGCCGCCGCGGUCCUCGCCGGCCCGGAGCAGCAGCCUCCUGCUGCCUUCGCCCUGGAGCACCAGCAGAGCUCGCCGCCGGAAGGGAUUCAGUGGCCGGUAGAGCCCGUGACGCCGCCCCCCUUCCUCUCCUCGCCGGCCGGCUGCUACACGCCGGGGAGCCCCUGGUGCGAGCUUGCCGGCAGCUACGGCUACGCUGCCGGCGGGGGGCUCGGGGCUGACAUGGAGUAUGCGUACGACCAGUUCGACGAAAUGAUCUUGAAUCUGCCCGAGGUUUUCCAACCGGAUGGUCCGAACCUGUAGGUGCUGCGGCCAGUAUCGUACUGUAUUCGCACUAGCAUUUAGAUUCAGACUCCUGUGAUCGGCAUCCAACGGGAAGUAGUCAGUCGAACUGGUUCCUACCAGGUUACUCAACGAGUCGUGAAGGAUGAUAGCCUGUUAGCCAUGGCGAGAGAAAAUAACUGAACCAUCAACGUCUGG